GUGAGGAAUAUUGCGCAAUGGAGGCAACUCUGACGCAGCCAUGCCGCGUGCAGGAAGAAGGCGCUACGCGUUGUAAACUGCUUUUAACCGGGAAGAAACCCCAGGACGUGUCCUGGGUUGACGGUACCGGAGGAAUAAGCACCGGCUAACUUCGUGCCAGCAGCCGCGGUAAUACGAAGGGUGCAAGCGUUAUCCGGAUUCAUUGGGUGUAAAGGGUGCGUAGGCGGAGCGUUAAGUCAGUGGUGAAAUCCUGCAGCUUAACUGUAGACUUGCCAUUGAUACUGUCGCUCUUGAGUGCGCUUGAAGUGGGCGGAAUGUGCCGUGUAGCGGUGAAAUGCUUAGAUAUGGCACAGAACACCAAUUACGAAGGCAGCUCACUAAGGCGAUACUGACGCUGAGGCACGAAAGCGUGGGGAUCGAACAGGAUUAGAAACCCGGGUAGUCC
rnacentral:rRNA from 1 species